rnacentral:ncRNA from 2 species
GUCCGGCGAGGCGGCGAAGAGGGAACCCGGUGCGAACCCGGGACGGCUCCCGCCACUGUGAGCGGCGACGCGAGGGCACGAACGCCACUGGGACCACGGACACGCGGUCUUGGGAAGGACGCCCGAGCGGAAGACCCGCGAGUCAGGAGACCUGC